UGACUUGAGCCAUGCAGCCCUUUGAAGGAAAAGUGCUUUAGGAGCCCAGCCCUCUGAGGAUGCAAAGCCUCUCCCAGGUGCUUGCUUUUAUCUGUCUUGUGUGGAGGAUGCCUUCUGUGAGGUCUUACGCCUCUAGGGUUUCCCUGGGUUGGUCCCUAUGUGAUGUUUCUAAUGUGAAAUGCAGCCUGUGAAAGAGAAGACAAUGCCUCGAGUCUGAUCUGUCCUAAGAUGAAUGUGCUAAUGCUCCAGGACCGAUAAGACAGAGGAGGUCAAGAAGGGGCCUUGUGGUAGGUAAUGCCUCCUCAAGUUCAUUGACACAGCCUCGUGAAUUUUGAUUAGCACAUUCAAAUACACAUGUUCAGACAAAGUCACAAUAAACAUCUCUGUCUCUUUCUCAGUCUCCUUUCCCAGCUUCCUUUCAGAGUAGAAAUGUGAGAAGGUGAGUGAAUAAAAUCAGAAUUAUUUGUUUAUUGUUCUGAGGAUAACUGGUUGGAUUAUUCAAAGGCAACUGGUUGGAUUCCAUAGGUAGACAGUGACCUAAGGUUAUAGUAAUUAACAACUAUGACUAAGAAAAUGGUAGUCGUUGCCAGGUGCGGUGGCUCACGCCUGUAACCCCAGCACUUUGGGAGGCCGAGGCGGGUGGAGAACGAGGUCAAGAUCGAGACCAUCCUGGUCAACAUGGUGAAACCCCAUCUCUACGAAAAAUACAAAAAAUUAGCUGGGCAUGGUGGCGUGUGCCUGUAAUCCCCGCUACUCAGGAGGCUGAGGCAGGAGAAUUGCCUGAACCCAGGAGGCGGAGGUUGUGGUGAGCCGAGAUCGCGCCAUUGCGCUCCAGCCUGGGUAACAAGAGCAAAACUCCAUCUCAAAAAAAAAAAAUGGUAGUCCUUGAGGUAGUUAAUUUUAUAUGUUCACUUGACUAGGCUGUGGUGCCCAGUUGUUUUAUCAAAUGCAAGCUGGAUGUUGCUGGGAAGGUGAUUAACACUUAGAUCAGGAAGCUUUGAGCAAAGUUGAUUACCAUCCAUAAUGUGACUGGAUGUCAUCCCGUCAGUUGAAGGACUUACAAGGAUGAUUAAGAUUUCUGGAAGAAGGAAUUCUGCCUCAAGACUUUUGACAUAGAGACUCUUAGCCUGCAGAUUUUGGUCUCAAGAUUGCAACAUCAAGUUGUGCCUGAAAUUCCAGUAGGCUGCCUUGCCUUACAGAUUUUGGA
rnacentral:lncRNA from 1 species